UACGGAGGGGACUAGCGUUGUUCGGAAUUACUGGGCGUAAAGCGCACGUAGGCGGAUUUGUAAGUCAGGGGUGAAAUCCCGGGGCUCAACCUCGGAACUGCCUUUGAUACUGCAAAUCUCGAGUCCGGAAGAGGUGAGUGGAAUUCCUAGUGUAGAGGUGAAAUUCGUAGAUAUUAGGAGGAACACCAAUUGCGAAGGCAGCUCGCUGGGACGUUACUGACGCUGAGACGCGAAAAGCGUGGGGAGCAAACAGG
rnacentral:rRNA from 1 species